CUCAGAUAUACAAUGAACAAAUCGGAGAAUUAAUUGAUCCAACCCAAUGAAACCUAGAGAUAAGGGAUGAUGCCAAAAAUGGAUUUUAUGUUGAGAAUUUGACUGAGGAAUAUGUGACCUGUUAUGAGGACAUAACCCAAAUAUUAAUUAAGGCACGAAGCUGAGCUUGUUGCAGCGGCAAGCCAGCCCUUUCCUGAUGAUGAUGACGAUGCAUUUGACUAAUGCUCAUGGCUUUGGCUUUCUACUAUCAUUUUUCGUGCUCCUUUAGUUAAUAUGAGUUCUAAAAAAAAAAAUUCAGCGCUAUCGAAGGAUUUGUGUAUGAGAGGUGAAUGUAUCACGGAGAAGAGACCAUUUUAGUUAUUCUUUAGCCAUUGUUUCAAGUCUGGUUGUGGUUGUGCUUUGUGGUAGAAUUCUUUAGGCUGCCAUAUGGAUGUUUUGAGUCACUUCAAGUGUUUGCUUCAAGAUUUUAAAUUAUGUAUGGAUUUAAAUUAUUGACGUUGGAUUAGACUUGGACUGUAUGGAAUUUGUAAUAUAUAUAGAAUUGGACGUUGAAGAUUA